rnacentral:rRNA from 1 species
UACGGAGGGUGCGAACGUUAAUCGGAAUCACUGGGCGUAAAGGGUGCGUAGGCGGGUCUUUAAGUCAGGGGUGAAAUCCUGGAGCUCAACUCCAGAACUGCCUUUGAUACUGAAGAUCUUGAGUUCGGGAGAGGUGAGUGGAACUGCGAGUGUAGAGGUGAAAUUCGUAGAUAUUCGCAAGAACACCAGUGGCGAAGGCGGCUCACUGGCCCGAUACUGACGCUGAGGCACGAAAGCGUGGGGAGCAAACAGG